rnacentral:rRNA from 1 species
GUGAGGAAUAUUGGUCAAUGGGCGCAAGCCUGAUCCAGCCAUUCCGCGUGAGUGAUGAAGGCCUUAGGGUUGUAAAGCUCUUUCAGUGGGGACGAUAAUGACGGUACCCCCAGAAGAAGCCCCGGCUAACUUCGUGCCAGCAGCCGCGGUAAUACGCAGGGGGCUAGCGUUGUUCGGAUUUACUGGGCGUCAAGCGCACGUAGGCGGAUCGUUCAGUCGGGGGUGAAAUCCUGGAGCUCAACUGCAGAACUGCCUUCGAUACUGGAGAUCUUGGGGCCGGAAGAGGUGAGUGGAACUCCGAGUGUAGAGGUGGAAUUCGUAGAUAUUAGGAAGAACACCAGUGGCGAAGGCGGCUCAGUGGUCCGGUACUGACGCUGAGGUGCGAAAGCGUGGGGAGCAAACAGGAUUAGAAACCCCGGUAGUCC